GAGUUGUGGUUGAUGGUGUUUCGAGAGGGAUGCAGAGCAAGCACCCAGAGGAUUUUUGGAUUCCUGGGCACCAUGGACUCCCUCCUCCACGACGCCUCCUAUCAGGCAGAGACACAUGUGUCCCUUCAGGAUUUGGAGGCAGGCGCAGAGACACACUCAGCAUUGGGAUUGUAUGGUUAACCAACCAUGUUCAAGCCUCUGACCGUCAAGGGUUCAGUGUGGAUGGGGGUGUGGAAAUCAGCCCAAACACCCUGGACCAUCACGAUCGAGGGAAAUCCAGAACAAGAACGAAUGCAGGACCCAGCAAUCGCACUCUUGGGCUAUAUCUGGAUGCAUCGUCUUUCAACAAGGUCUUCAUACCAGGUGCAUCGUGAGAACAAAAGCAGCUCACAUGGAAAGAAAAAGAAUUUCGAGAUCUUAGAAGAGAAGAAGCACAGGGAAUAUUGCGGCUACUCACCAAAAUGUCACCUCUGUACCACCUUCCAGGGACAACAUGCAGGCACUUUAUCCGGUUCCCAAAGCCCAGCAAUAUUCACAAUAGCCAAGACAAGGAAACAAACUCAAUGUCCAUCGACAGAUGAACGGAUUAAGAAGAUGUUGUUCAAAGAUUCAGUGGAAUACUACGAUGCAUCCAUACAAAAAGCCCAAAAAAUGACAAUCUCAGCAACAUAGAUGUCUCCAGAAACAUCCUGUGUGAAGUAAGUCAGAAAAUGAAAGACAAUACCAUAGCUUUCCCUUGGUUCUGGAAUCUAUCAAAAGGCACGAAUGAACCUGUCUCCCAAAAAGAAAAUCUUGGACUGGUAAAGAGAUUGUGGUUGCCAGAUUGGGGGUGGUGGUGGAUGUAUGUUGGCAUGGAUUUAGGGGGUUAAUGGAUGCAAACUCUAAUACUUGGAGAGGGUUAGCAAUGGGAUCCUGCUCUACAACACAGGAAACUAUCUGGACUUCUUUUUUUGGAACUAGAUGAAAGAUAAUGUGAAAAAAAUGACAUCUAUGUACAAGUACGAAUGGAUCACAUUGCUGUUAAAGAGAAAUUGAGAGAGUACUAUCAAUCAGGUAGAGUGGAAAUAAAAAAGGAUAAAAGAAGACAUUACAGGCUCAGUGUUCACCAGAGAAGAUGUAGGGUCUAGCCUCCUGCACCUCGAGAAAAAAAGCAGGCAACCUGACUCUGUCGAACUUGUCAAUAUUUCUUAGCAAUGGGGCACCCGACCAGACGUAAUGACCUAGGGUGUAUGAAUUGAGUUAUACUGUAACAUCUUUAUUUAUUUAUUUCGAUUCACCUAUUUUUCUGCACACAGGUGGGGCAGGCAGAUACCAUCUGGCCAGGUAUUGAAUCCACCUCACUGCUUCUUUUAGCCCAGGCCCCUACUGAAACCCUCUGUCACCAGAGAUAGAGGGUCAGGAGGUCCUUUAUUUCUGCUAUCGAUUCCCUUAGCCACUCUGGAGGAAUAUAUGGAUGUAUGUAUUGACCUCAUUAUCAAUGAAGCUCAUUUGUUCAAUAUCUCUCUUUAUGUAUAAAUUUAUUUGGGUGCCACUGCGACUUGGGAUGUUGUCUGGCCAGGGUUUAAUCUCCCAACACAGCUCUUACCACAGCCACAGCAGUGACAGAGAGAGACUCUUAAGACCAGCAACCACGAGGGAACUCCCUGAGAGCGUGCUUGGUGAUACCAAUCCACCCUGCUUAAUUCAUCACUCCUGGCUUUGGUCGGGCCUCCAAUGCCGUGGCGCGGUAGUGAAAACAGAGGAUCAUCGCAAAAGGCAAGAAGGAAAUUUCCCUAGGUCUCUUGAGCAAGAAAAGCACAGGGAUUAGCACAGCUGCCCACCAUCAUGCUGCCCAAGUCUCCCCAUUCUUUUGUCAGCACCAGCCUCUCUCUCCACAUCCCUACAGCCCUGACAACCAGGGGCUUCAACAUGGCCAUCUCACCUUUCAACACAGAUGCUGUGUGGGUCUCGGCUCCUGCCUCUGGAGGAACACAAGGCAUUUGGAAACCCAGUGAGUCCCUUCAGCAUUUUAAACACACUGCCACCCAACCAGGCUGCCCAGCCACAUCCAAUGCUGAAGGGACACCUAUGUCCUCUGCCUGACAUGAGGCAUCUUAGAGUAGAGAUUCCCAGGUGCCCAGAAAAAGAAAAAAACCCAAAUCUCCUGGUGCUUCCUGUGAGUUCUGCCCAACACAACAUCCACCCCACCUGUGAGCCUGCCUCUGCUGCCCAGAGCGGCACCUGGGUCCAGAAGGUCCUCUGGCGCCGUCUUGUGGCCAUCUGCUCUAACAGCAACCCUCAGGGUGGCCUCCUCUCUCUAGCUCAGCAGCCCCCUGGGGGCUGCAUUGGCUCUGGGCAAUAUGCUGGGUGGAUUCUCUUCCUCCAUUUUCUUGAAAUACCAAGAACUUCCCUUCCAAGUGGGCUAUUUCUCUCUCGAAGGCUUUCAGAGCCCUGAGAUCAACCUACGCCCAAACCACUCCCAUCACUCAUCUCCGAACCAUUGUGUCAUGACAGCAUUCUUCUUUUUGAGAUAUGCCAGCACUUAUGUACUUAUGAAGAUAGGUGUGUAUAUAUGGAACCAUGGAUUUUUUUCUUAAUUUUCCAACUGUUGUUCCUUCACUCAUACAAUAAAGCCUUGAUUCUUUUCUUUCUUUCUUACUG
rnacentral:lncRNA from 1 species